rnacentral:rRNA from 1 species
GGGAUAAUUUAUCUCCGUGUUGUAGCUAACGCGUUAAGCACUCCGCCUGGGGACUACGGUCGCAAGACUAAAACUCAAAGGAAUUGACGGGGACCCGCACAAGCGGUGGAGCAUGUGGUUUAAUUCGAUGCAACGCGAAAAACCUUACCACUCCUUGACAUGGAGAUUAGAUCCUUCUUAACGGAAGGGCGCAGUUCGGCUGGAUCUCGCACAGGUGCUGCAUGGCUGUCGUCAGCUCGUGUCGUGAGAUGUUGGGUUAAGUCCCGCAACGAGCGUAACCCUCAUCCUUAGUUGCCAGCGGGUAAUGCCGGGCACUUUAAGGAAACUGCCGGUGGUAAACUGGAGGAAGGUGGGGAUGAUGUCAAGUCAGCACGGCCCUUAUGGGGUGGGCUACACACGUGCUACAAUGGUGACUACAAUAGGUUGCAAUGUCGCAAGGCUGAGCUAAUCCGUAAAAGUCAUCUCAGUUCGGAUUGUCCUCUGCAACUCGAGGGCAUGAAGUCGGAAUCGCUAGUAAUCGUGGAUCAGCAUGCCACGGUGAAUACGUUCUCGGGUCUUGUACACACUGCCCGUCACGCCAUGGGAAUUGGCUUAACUCGAAGCUGGUGCGCUAACCGAAAGG